GGCAUUCCUCUUCACGGCUCAACAAUAUCCCCUGCAUGGAGGCGCCCCUCGUGUUAUUUGUCAUCUCCUGAUGGGCACUUGGGCUGUUCCUACCUUUUGGCCAUUGUGACUGGUGCUGCUGUGAAUGCCUGUGCACCAGAAUCUUUCCUAGUCCUUCCUCUCAGGGGGCCAGGCUUCUGCCCUCCCCUCCGUCCUGCUCCCCGUGUCAGUCUGUUUUGGUCACUGGCUGUGGCCUGGGAGACACUCCCACUUGGAUGAAGGCAGUCACCCCCGGCGGUGCUCAGGGUGGAAGGGGGCCAGCAGGGGAAUCCGGGUGGUGCCAGGAGUGCCCUGCAUCUCCCCGUUCCUCCUGCCUUCCCUGCUUUGCUACCCCCAGUACUUCUCACCUUCUGACACCCCCGGCAUGUGCUGACUUCUUGGGCUUCUUGUCUACUUCCCCCUAGAAAGCACCCAAGGCCUGGGGCUGUGCCUGUUUUGUCACGGCUGGACCCACCCUUCCUGAUACACAGUCAGGCUCAACAAAUAUGCAUGGGAUGAAUGACUAGCACGCGCGCACACACGAUCUCUUGGAAUUCUCGCCGAAACUGUGAUGUCACUGCUGCCGUCAUCCCCAUUCUACAGAGAAGGAAAUGGAGGCUCAGGAACGUUGAGUGAAUUCCCCAAGGUCACAGAGCUUGCGAGCGGCAGAGCAGAGACAGGGGUGCAGAGCUGCCCCACGCCUAGCACUUCCCAGCCGGAAGGCUUGGCCUGUCUACAUGAUGAGCUGGACACCUGUCAAACACAUGUCACUCACACUAAUUCGACUCUGCGUCUUUGGAGAGAGAGAAACUUCGAUACCCAGCCAAUGGCCAGGCCAUUGCG
rnacentral:lncRNA from 10 species